rnacentral:ribozyme from 1 species
AGCCUGAAAGUGAAACAAAGAGACAAAAACAAAAAGCAAAACGUUGAAAUUGCUCAAAUAUGUACUUGCUGGGGCGAUUGCUUUGUUUUGCUGCUUUUAUUCCAAGUGCACUUUCC